rnacentral:lncRNA from 1 species
AUACCAAAAACAAAAACACUCCUAGAGAGAAUAAAAAUUAGCAGAAAAAAAUGUAUAAAUACAUACAAAAACACUAAUACUCAGCCAAACUGAAAAGCACACGACAGGACUUGAGCAGAAGCUUUAAAAAAAAUCAACACACACACAUAGUAUAUGUAUAUGUAUGUAGCUUUAUCUGCACAUGAGUGUACUACAACAAACCUUCUGCUGGCACAUAUACUCAAAUGUCGCUUGCUUCUCAAUGUAUGUGUGUGUGUAUGGCUGUGUUCGGCUACUUCUGCUGAGGAAGAGAAAGAAGAUGAUGAUUCGACUAGAGACGCGAGAGUCACCCUUAAGAAGGGUCAAAGUGGGGGGCCGACUGGCAAGCAAGCAGGCAGGCAGGCAACAACAUUGGGGCAGGCGGCAAUCGAAAGGAGAAAAAAUUUUGCAAUAUAAAAAUGGAACAGCGAAUAAAUGAAACAAACCAACGAACUGACUGGAACGAAAAGGUAGAAGGAGAUAGAAAGUGCGAGCGUCGGCAAAGACGACUAGCGUCUGACUAUUGGAGCAUGGUUAAAAUUCCGCGACACCAUUGCCACACCAUAAUAUCAGCGCGCCCAACAACUUGGAUCGGCAUUCGAUUGUUUGUGCGAGUAUAGUAUGCCGGUCUAACCGUCUGCCAUCGAAGGUUCGUCUGUUUGCAGUCAUACAGUGAAGUGAAAUAUAAGCAAGUUAAAUAAAAACGCAGAUGCAGAAACGAACGAACUCUUCAAAAAGUCUGUAUCCCAUUACAUACAUUAUACACACACAGCAAUACAUACGUACUACAUAAGGCACAUACAUAUGUAUGUAAAAAAGUGUGUGUGUAAAAAACUGUGGCGAUGCUGGAAGUAAGACUUACUACCACCACACCUUAUCAAAUGGUCAAAGGACGAACGGGAGUAUUGAUUAAUUGGAAACACGAACAUCAUUGGGAUUUUAAUCAUAUUAGGUGUUGCUAAGUGACUUCAAAAUAUAUGUAUAGUUUAUACAUAUAACAACAAACAGUUAUAGAAUACAAAUAAUGCUUCAGAAAUUCUAGGAAGCAUGCCAGUCUUAUUAGAAAAUCAUCUCACGGUAAAACAAAGGCACUGCAAAAGAUAUCCUCCAAAAUAGAUUUUUAUUCGAUUAAGCAAUAAUCCAAUAUACACAAAAAAAUCAAUAUAAACACUAAUAUAAAAAAAA